rnacentral:rRNA from 1 species
CUACGGAGGGUGCAAGCGUUACUCGGAAUCACUGGGCGUAAAGCGCGCGCAGGCGGCUUGAUAAGUUGGAUGUGAAAGCCUACGGCUCAACCGUAGAACUGCAUCCAAAACUGUCAGGCUAGAGUGUGGGAGAGGAAGAUGGAAUUAGUUGUGUAGGGGUAAAAUCCGUAGAGAUAACUAGGAAUACCAAAAGCGAAGGCAAUCUUCUGGAACAGUACUGACGCUGAGGCGCGAAGGCGUGGGGAGCAAACAGGAUUAGAAACCCCGGUAGUCC